rnacentral:tRNA from 1 species
ACCUGAGUGGCUCAGUUGGUUGAGCAUCUGACUUCAGCUCAGGUCGUGAUCUCGCGGUUUGUGAGUUCGAGCCCCGCGUCGGGCU